GGUGUUUUUCUUUUCAAAACAGAAAACUCUCAAAAGAGGAAUACAAUAGAAUAUCCCUAUUAAAACAUAAACAUAAAUCAAAUAACGAUUGGCUUUUAGACAGAGACAGACCUAUCUGGAUUGAUUACUGUGGUUCUGUCUGGAGACAGGGACCUGAGUGAAAACCUCUCAAAAUGCCUCCUAGUCCUUCGGUGAAGAAAGAGAAAAUUCUUAAAAAAUAGGAAAAACCUCUGGCUUGUGACCUAGUUGGGCAACCACACCCUCCCUGGAGCUGGUGCUGUCUUGCAGGUGGCUAUUGCCCUCUGGUGGUGAAAGUGCAGACUUGCAGGCAAGGUUUAAACUUUGCAAGCCCGCGGCUGAAACAAGGCAACCCCCACUCCUGACAUUUGCCAGAGCCUUUGGGGGUAAAUGAACAUCCACAUACAAUUCCUACACGUAUUUAAAAUUAAUAAAUUCAGAUGAUGAAUCAUUAAAUAAAAAAUGUUGCAUCAUUCCCUAGUGACCUGGAAGCCCAUCUUCGUAAAUUCGCAGACACCUUCGGAUUCCCUCAGAAACAUGCCGAUUUGGAGACUGUGGGCCUCAGGUUUAACUCACUCCACUCAGCCCUGCCCUGCAGCACACCUCCAGACUGACCCUCAUGCCUGGGAUGCCCCAGCCUCCUGGCUAAGCCCCAUCCCGUCUGUGCAAAGAGCCCCUCUGUCCCCAAACACUCACUGGUGGGUCCAGGGGCUGAACAGCACUGACUCCAGCAGAAGCAAACCCAGGAGAGAGGACUGUGCAGGUCCCAGAAGUAGGCUAGGACCAUUUGUGCAAGGAUUCUGGGUUCCAGGUACCAGAGCCAUGAUCUAGAAAACGGUGGUUAAAAAAAAGGGGAGGGGGUUUGGUGGCUCAGUAGGUUACAGAUUUGGUGUUGUCAGAGCUUUGGCUCAGGCUGCAGCUGUGGCGAGCUUCCAUUGCUGGGCCAGGAACUUCUGCACACUGUGAGCACAGCCAAAAAAGAAAGGGAAAAAUAAAAGAAAAAAGAGGAAAUUCCCUUUGUGGUUCAGUGGUUAACGAACCUGAGUAGGAUCCAUGAAGAUAUAAGCUCAAUCCCUGGCCUCACUCAGUGAGUUAAGGGUCAGGUGUUGCGUGAUCUGUGGUUGAGGUGGCAGACGCGGCUUGGAUCUGACGUUGCUGUGGCUGUGGUGUAGACCAGUAGCUGUAGCUCUGAUUCGACCCCUAGCUUGGGAAUUUCCAUAUACCUUGGGUAUGGCCCUAAAAAUCACACAGAUACACACAAAAAGAAACAGAGAAGAAAAGGGCAGCUGUGGAGGCAGUGUGUUAGUGUGACCAAAGAGGUGCUUCCAUCUGUCCAGCUUUUAGCACUGACAUUCCAUGUCCUAGGAGACGCUUCAUCAGGAUGUGAAAAGCCUCACUUUUCAAUCUGGCCUCAAAAGACUAAGGGAGAAGUGAAAAAUCCACACCACAGGCCCCCCAACAGGGGCUGAAAGUAACACUAUUUGGGGGCCCAGUGGAUAUGAUGUUGAUUAUCCCUCUGCUGGAGUCAUAGGCACUGAUGCUGGCAACUGGUGUUUGUGCUUCCCAGUAAUGGAUCCCCCGUGUUGUACACUCCGAGGGAUGUGCCUUGAAAUCCUAAGCGUUAACAAUGUCUGACAUUGCCUGUGGAUUGACCUUGGCACUUUCUUUGUAUUGGAUGUUUCACAUUGUGACUUGUGUGGUGUUUACUGAAUUCUUUUUUUGUUGUUGUUGUUCUUUUUGCCAUUUCUUGGGCUGCUCCCAUGGCAUAUGGAGGUUCCCAGGCUAAGGGUCGAAUCAGAGCUGUAGCCACCGGCCUACGCCAGAGUCACAGCAACGUGGGAUCUGAGCCAUGUCUGCAACCCACACCACAGCGCACGGCAACACCAGAUCCUUAACCCACUGAGCAAGGGCAGGGAUCGAACCUCAACCUCACGGUUCGUAGUGGGAUUCGCUAACCACUGCGCCACGACGGGAACUCCUGAAUUCUCUUGAAAAGUUGUUUAGCUAAUGAAAGCGUGAACAUUCCAGUUAUUGUAUGGUUCAUUUUUCCUUUUUUCUUUUUCGGGCUGCACUUGCCACAUAUGGAAGUUCCCAGGCUAGGGAUCGAAUUGGAGCUGCUGCUGUCGGCCUACACCAUAGCUAAAACUGCAACUCAGGAUUCGAGGCACGUCUGUGACCUACACCGCAGCCCACGGCAAUGCCAGAUCUUUUAACCCAUUGAGCGAGGCCAGGGAUCAAACCCACAUCCUCAUACAUAGUAGUCGGAUUCAUUUCUGCUACACCACAGGAAGAACACCCUCUUUGUUCUUUUAAAUCUUCUUGUGCUCAGGAAAUCUACCUGAUAGACUCUAAUAACCUAUAUGGGAAAAAAUGAAUGGAAAAAUGUAUAUUUAUGACUGAUUCACUUCACUGUACACCUGAAACUAACACAACAUUCUAAGUCAGCUAUAGUCCAAUAAUAUUUUUUUAAAGUGAGAACAAUUACAUAUUUUUGGUUUAAUUAGUCCUACUAUUAGCCACUACUAUGCUUCCUGUUAACUACCCAAUUGUUUUAUUUAAACAAAUAACACGUAUGUAACAGAAGAAUAGGUAAUGCCAAAUGUAAUUCCAAGUAAAUGCUUAUUUUUCAUAUUUCAGUGAUAAAUUAACAACACUUUUGUGGAUAAUGAUUUUUUAUUAUCAGUUUUAUCAUUAUUGUUAUUCAGUCUGCUAUGGCUGUGUCUCAGGUUGGUUCUGGGCGUUGCUAUUGCGGCUCAGAGGUAAUGAACCCAACUGGUAUCCAUGAGGACUCAGGUUCAAUCCCUGGCCUCACUCAGCAGGCUAAGGAUCUGGCAUUGCUGGGAGCUGUGGUGUAGGCUGCAGAUGUGACAUGGGCCCUGCAUUGCUGUGACUGUGGUGUAGGCUGAAACUGCAGCUCUGCUUCGACCCCUAGCCUGGGAACCUCCCUAUGCCACAGGUGCAGCCACCAAAAGCAAGACAUUAAAUUAAAUUAAAAUUAAAGGUUGGUUGUCUUGAAGGCAAGCCCUGCUGGUCCUUCCCUUAUGAGGAGGGAGGUGAUCUAUGAAGGGCCAGAAGGAAGUCCUAGGUUCUGUUGACAAUGGCUCCCAAAUAGACAGCAGGUCCAACCUCCGACUGAUACCUUUAGGAAGGAAGAACACCUGUUGAUGGAUAAUUAAAGGAAAACACCCAAUGGAGUUUGGUUUGGAAUCUAUAUAACCACAGAACCAUGUGGGCCAAUAGCAUUGUGAGUUUACAAAGGAAAUGACUUUGCAAAAAAAAAAAAAGAUCAUUUGCUUUUAUGAUGCUUACAUUCAAGAACUCGGUUUUGUUUUUGUUUUUGCAAUGUUACUGGGAAGCAGAUGCUAAACUGCAAAAAUUACCUAGCAAUUGCAUUUCAGAAAUCAAGGCUAUCCGACUUCUUUAUUAAGUUUACUGUUAAGGGAACAAGGAAAGAGAAAAACAUUUCUCCCAUUAGCAAAGCAAAUAGGACAUCUGCACAUAAGGAAAUGAAACACACAAUUUGGUGGGUGAUAUUCAUUGUUGUGGAAGGAAUCUUUGGCUUGUAGGUACAGAUGGCUUUAUACUCCAGAUCUUAAAUUGGAUAGGAUGUCACAGGUGUUAAGCAUUUCUUUGUUUUCAUGGUUUAGUUUUAGUUGUUUUUUUGUUUAUUUUUGGCUCUGCACCCAUGGUAUGCGGAAUUUCCCAGCGUCAGGGAUUGAACCUGCGCCACAGCAUUGACAAUGCUAGAUCCUUAACCCACUGAGCCACCGGGGAACUCCAGUUUUAUUUGGAUUUUAACCCUGGUUUGGAAACAGUAGAAAGUGAAUUACAGACUAAUAGCAAUCCAGCUCAAUCUAUGAGCAUCUCUGUCUUGCUUGACUUCCUGUAAGCUGAAAGAUCUUAGCAUCAGGGGUUGAGGGACCACCUCCAGCUGUGCACAGCCCAGGAUUGGGGUGGUUUGAGGCUUCUGAGUCCACAGAGAGAACAUGACUUGUUAGCCAUACCAUCUAGAUAGUAUUUCCUUUGUGCUUUUUGUUUGUUUUCUUUAAAACUCAUCUUGAGUCCCUGUUGUGGCUCAGUGGAUUAGGAACCCGACUAUAUGCAUGACAGUGUGGGUUUGAUCCCUAGCCUCGCUCAGUGGGUUAAGGAUCCAGGGUUGCCAUGAACUGUGGUGUAGGUCGCAGACUUGGCUCAUAUCCCAUGUAGCUGUGGCUGUGGUGUAGGCCGCCAGCUGCAACUCCGAUUCAAUCCCUGCCUGGGAAUUUCCAUAUGCCACCGGUGUAGCCCUAAAAAGAAAGUCAGACAGACAGAAAGAAAGAAAAAGAAAAGUCACCCCUGCGUCUUGAAGUUUUUCCAUCUUGUAGGCAUGGCAGCCACUCUUUCUUCUGAAGAAGACGAAAUUAAGGCUUGUCCUCAAUAAAUGCAUCAUUUUGAAGAGGACAGUGGUUACUAUCUUCUGCCCCCGAGGCCCUUUCUAAAUAAAGAGACUCAUUUUUCCAAAUUAAAAACAAAAUUGUCAUGGCACAGAAAAAGAAUAACCAACUUUUCUUCUGGGAUCUAAAACUUUCUGUAGUCUGAAAGUCUGAGUUCUUUACUCAAGUCUCAUAAAAAAAUGACCCAACUGAUCCUCUCUGGACCAGAGCACAGGAGGGGAAGAAUCAGACGCACAAGGGUGUCACCAGCAGUGAUCGGGGGGUGACCAAGAGGAAGGUCAGUCUCAUGUACAAGGCUUAGGACUUUCAGGUCUUAUUCCUUCUUCUCAGGUGAAGGUUUACCCUGGAUUCUCCACUUCAAAACAGUGGGAUUUUACUGUUAUGAAGAGAGAGGGAUUUCCCUGGUGGUCUAGGGGUUAGGAUUCAGUGCUUUCACUGCUGCAGACUGAUUCAAUCCCUGCUUUGGGAACUGAGAUCUCACAUCUGCCUGCCAUGGCCAAAAAAAAAAAAAAAAA
ensembl:lncRNA